ensembl:lncRNA
CCUCUGUUUAGACUCUAGAAUUCGCAUUCUCCGGCUUGCUUGACUGUACUUGACUGUCUGUUGAGCAAGUUGUUUUGUGUCGUUACCUACCAGUAAAACUCAACCUUGUUACAACAAAUUGCUUCGUAUGGUGGUUCCUCUCCGAAACAACACGCAGAGUAUUUUUUCCUAACAAUUGGUGACCCCGACGCUGAACUGAGGAGAGGUGGACCAACCAGACCCUCACCUGGAGCACGAGGCUCAGAGUGGGGCUUCGAGAUCUUUGGCGGCAGACAAAAAGCAGGCCUGCGAGAAAAAUAAGGUGAGGACAAACCUAUUUUAUUGAAUUGUCCAUAGAUUAGAAUAUUGAUUAGUUAGUUUUUGUCUGUCAUCUUGGAUCUUGAAGGAAGCAGCAAGUGCGAGUGGAUGGUGGAUAGUGAUACAAAUCCACAAAAGCCUUUGUGAAUUGUCAGUUUUAAAUAGGAAAAAGCAUUAGUAGGUACUGUAAAAGGCCUGACUACCUAAACAUUAGGUUUAGAGGGAGGAGGGAGAUUAGUAGGUCUGCAUAAUAGACCUGACUACCUAAACAUUAGGUUUAGAGGGAAGAGUGAGAGAUUAGUACGGACUGCGUAACAGACCAGAGUUCCUAAACGGGGGGUGAGCAUGGUUGACCCUUCCGCGUAGCAACUGAAGUAGAUAAUCGAAGUAGUGUCUGAGCUCGUUAGCCUACUCUUGACCUACAAUUUAGCCUACAUCCCGGAUGUGCUCACCCUCUGGGUUAGAGGUAAAGGAUAAGCGUGUAACGCGACCAAGCACGGUUAGCGCGUGUAAAGCGAGUAGCGCAAAUUUUUCAAAUGUAAAUAGGGCAAAGGCGUGUAAAUAGGAUAAAGAAGGGUAGAAUUGAGUGCAGAGAGACACACAGCUGGCACUGCGCCACGCACAGUUCUGUGUAUAAAUCAGGAGGAAGUUUGAAUUUUCAGACACCCGACUCCUGUCUUUAUACAGAACUAUAGGACAGAAGUGAAUAUUUGUAAGAGAUAGUCUUUCAAAAGAUAAGUGACUUGCAAAUAAAUAAUAGAAGUAAUACCCACAACUGUUGUGUUCAGCAAAAGUGUCAAAUUAAGAUCAGAAGUACUCAGAUGAUAGAUUAAAUCAGUGAUAUAGCACUGAUUUAACACUGAUAUAACACACCUUUGUUACGUCUGAAUGGGUAAGCUUUCGGUGGAUGCAAGAAUCCAACAAAAAGCCGGAUUAGUGGACCAUUCAGACUAACUCAGUGUGUUUAGUAAAACCUUGUUUGUGUAUCUGCAAUUCCCUUCGGUGGGCUCAUGAACCCCUUGGCCGUACAGGAAACUGUAUUAAUAAGGCACCGGAUUGGCGAGGAGUGAUAAAAGCAAACAAGGUUCAGAAAACAAUUAAAAAAAAAAAAAAAAAAAAAGAGAAAAGAAAACGGGGGAAGGGAAAAGGCCUAAUUGAUUAUAAAGGCCUAGUUCUGAUCAAAAAAGUUUCUAUAACAGGUCUAAUUGGUUAUAAGGGCCUGUUUCUGAUAAAAACACAACUGUGGGGCAAGCAUCUAUAUUUAGUCAACCAUAGAUGAACGUAGAGGAGUUAGAGAGGGAGUUAGAGUUAGAGAAUAAAACUCCAACAGCUAUCAGGGGUGAUUACAGAAUAAUAGCACCCAAGAGCCGUUGGUGGUUGGAUACAUUGUUAACUUACCCAGGCAAAACAGGGGCUGAGAUAAUAAGAAAACACGUAGUAGUGGUGGGAGCGAGUGCAGGGUACCUAAGAAGUCACUGCCCAUAUCAGGAGGAAAACAUAUUGGAGUGGUUAUCCUCGUUUGAGAACCGUCUGAUCAAUCCACGAUAUUUAUUAGGAUUAUUUGACACAGUCUACGAAAAAUCACUUCUCCCUCCAAAACAGGGAGGGAAAAAACACGAAGUUAAGUGGACAGUAAAACUAAAAGAGUUCUAUUACUGGCUCCACGACGACCCCAUAGCUUUUGGAAACGCAGUUUGGGCGCCCGUAGAGAAAAGACAGAAAAAAGGGAGACCAGAAAUUUGGUACGAGAAGAUUCAGAUAACUGUAAUACCCCUCUGGGAGCGUAAAACGUGGGGAGACGGUGAUAUUUGGUUCCCGCCACCACAAGUGAGGGGACACAUAAAUUUAAACAGUUUACAAAUCAAUGGUGAGAAACCUAGAUUCGCAGAAAUCACAGAGAGAAUACUAGGGGGCAUUAUAGUAGGUUGGGACCUGAUAAAUCCAGUACUUAACCCUAGACUUGCGUUGGCAGUAGACCGAGGAAGUGUAGCCAGUGCAGGUUGAGUUAUGGCAGACCAAGCAAACCCGAGAUCAGGGACAGCAGGUCAAUUGGUGCUGGACAUUAAAGAGCAUUUUGACAAAAACAAUGCAAAGGCGGUUGCAAAGGACAAAAUCAGGAACUUAGAAAAGCUAAUAAAAGAUUGGAUUAAGAGAGGAUGGUAUCCCGAAGCAGACAAACCUGUUCCAACCAGAGAAGAUUGUGUAAUGUUGAGACAGCGUUCAACAGAUGAGAUGGAACAGAAAAAGAGGAAGAUAGAUGAGAAAAACUUCCUCCAGUCGAAAAGACAUGCCCGAGAUGACUGGAGUGAUGAGAAUAUAUUUAGAGACGAAAUAAUGGGGAU